GCUAAGAAUAUUCCGCAAUGGACGAAAGUCUGACGGAGCGACGCCGCGUGGAUGACGAAGGCCGAAAGGUUGUAAAGUCCUUUUGUCGAUGAAGAAUAAGUGUGGGAGGGAAUGCCCGCAUGAUGACGUUAGUCGGCGAAUAAGCCCCGGCUAAUUACGUGCCAGCAGCCGCGGUAACACGUAAGGGGCAAGCGUUGUUCGGAAUUAUUGGGCGUAAAGGGUACGUAGGCGGUUUGGUAAGCCCGGCGUGAAAGCCUGCAGCUUAACUGUAGAGCUGCGCUGGGAACUGCGAAGCUUGAGUCAUGGAAGGGGAGUUAGAAUUCCAGGUGUAGGGGUGAAAUCUGUAGAUAUCUGGAAGAAUACCGGUGGCGAAGGCGAACUCCUGGCCAAUGACUGACGCUGAGGUACGAAAGUGCGGGGAGCAAACAGGAUUAGAAACCCGGGUAGUCC
rnacentral:rRNA from 1 species